GUGCUUGCUUCUUCACCUCAUAUAUUAAAAUUGGAACAAUAUAGAGAUUAGUAGUGACCCUAUACAAGGAUGACACUCAAAUUUGUAAAGCAUUCCAUAUUUUC